rnacentral:lncRNA from 1 species
GACGAGUGGGAAAUGAAACACAGAUGGGUCAGAUGGGUAAGGAGAGGGGGAUUACAGGUCAGGCCAAAGAGUUGGAAUAAAUUAAGUGCUUAUGAGGUACAGAAUGGCACAUUGUUUAAGUGAAUGGACAGGGAAAAAACAUUCCAGCAUUGUUCAUCCGCUGAGGGAGCCCAACGCUCCUCUUCCCAGACGAGCCCAGGCCACAGAGCGCCUCCUCCUCGCCAGGAUGUUUGUGACCCACAGACUGAAAACGCGGCCAGGCGGUGCCCGAAACAUUAUCCUAGCCUCCAAAGAGGCCAGUUUGGCUUUAUUACACGGGAGAUGUAAUUUAUUGGGAGAAAUGUUUGGGUUCGUGUGUCGGAUGGUGGAGAGUCAGAUUUGGAGUUCCCUGGGGAUCUCCGAGGAGAAGAAGCAGAUGUUCACAAAGCAACUGACCAGGCCAGGUGUGUCCUUCAAGGCUACCUGCAUUCAACAGAGGCGACCACAGCCCAGACCCAUCCUUCUUGGGAGAAUUUCAAGAUGCUCCACAUAGUGGUGCCUAGCGCUCUGUGCACUCAGAGGCUAGAAGAAAAGAUACAGAGGUCCUCUUUCAAGGAGAGGCCCUGAUGUUUCUAUUCUUACAAGGAUUCUUUGGUAAUAAAUACAGUGAAAACACCGUCACCGUGGAGAUAAUACUUAAUGCUCAAGAGGUACGUAGCAGAGAUUGCAUUCCAAUCAAGGACUUCCGUAACCCUGUCUACCAAGCCAGUAUCACCUGUAGGCCAGUUCACCUCCAUCCAGUCACUUUACAGCACUUGAGUGUUUGCUGUCCGCUCAAUUAAAAUCCUACUCUGGUGGGAAAAACCAGAUUUCCAAAUGGGGACUUUAUUGAUUCAAUAAAAUUUAAGAAAUUCUGCUUAUGGAAAAACUCAUUAACCCAAACUAAUAAAUACGAGUUUACCCUG